GGAGGUUGGACUCAAUGACCUCCUGAGGUCUCUUCCAGCCCUAAUCUUCUAUGAUUCUAUGCCAAGAUUGGCCUUAUGGAAGUGAAUUUAAUUGGUGAACGAAAUGAGGAGGAGAUGCACACUUUCCACCCCGACGUCCCUUUUGGGGAUUCUUAAAAGGAGACUUUGGAAAAAAAUUCUCAUCUCACCUUCCCCGACCCCAGCACAGAAGGAGCAGAGCAGACCAGAGGAUUUUCUUUCCUGGGGGAAGUCAUCAGGCCUUGCUCUUGUUUAAGGAACUUUGCUCUUCACCUGUGAGUCCUGAAAGUCGUCAUGACAAUCCAGUCCUCAGCCCAUCAGUGGGGAUACCUGAUGUCAGUGCUGCAGAGGCUCCAUUCAGAUGCAUAGGUCUCAAAUCCUGCUGAGCUGUAUGCCGUCUUUCUGCUGUGAAAAAACGGGGACUCGCUCGCUACUGGAUACUGAUUCGAGGCAGUUGCUGCAACAGCUGCCACCCCCACCAUCUCCUGGGACUCCAGACUUCAUCCUAAUUCUGAGAGCUGUCCUGACCAGACCAGGAGAGGGACCCAGAUGACACCGUCACCUCCACUGGCUGAAAUCUGAACACCAGCAUGUCUCCAGUCCUAUGCUCCUGUUUACGUCAAGUACUAAACAAUGCUGACAAGCAAAACAACUUUCAAGGUAGUCCUUGACUUAAAAGGUUGAUUUUCUUCAGUGCAUCCAAAUGUUAGUGUCUUCCAUACCAGACGCAGUGACAUUAGAAGCUAAGAAGCGUCUUGGCUAACCUUUCUCUUGCUCUAGCACCUUCCCCUGAAGUAUCUGGUACUGGCCAUUGUUGGUGUCAGGAAACGACUAGAUGGACCUCAGGUCUGAUCCACUAGGGCCAUUCCUAUGAAAAGUAGUGAGGCUGAAGAAAGCAGAGUAUUGAUGUCACUGAAGAGACAGAAAAGGACCCUGCUAGCCAUGACGAGUUCUCCAGCUACAUUCGGUCUGUGGUUCCACUGAAGAAUAUUUAUGGGUAGGGCACUUAAAUCACCUGCUCUUCUCAAUCAGCAUCUGCUCCAUCAAUAUCUACAAGGAGCUCUAAGUUACCAAAGAAAAAGGAUGAUGGAACAAUAAGCGGGACUAAGCAAAAGCUUGAUGAAUGACUUCAUUUAGUUUGUGCUUUGGAAAAUAGUUUCUGGCACUACCCAAAAUUAAUGUAUUAUUAAAGGCUCUGCCUUAUGCCAAGUGAGUCUUUUAUUCUUGGCAUAUGUAGAGAUCAUCAAGGGCAAGACAGUGUUUUGCUGCGGUUUUGUUAAAGUAAUAAGUAAAAGUAACUGUUAUAGUUAUUGCCAGAAUA